AGUGAACGCUGGCGGUAGGCCUAACACAUGCAAGUCGAACGGCAGCACAGUAAGAGCUUGCUCUUACGGGUGGCGAGUGGCGGACGGGUGAGGAAUACCUCGGUAUCUACUUUUUCGUGGGGGAUAACGUAGGGACACUUACGCUAAUACCGCAUACGACCUACGGGUGAAAGCAGGGGAUCUUCGGACCUUGCGCGAUUGAAUGAGCCGAUGUCGGAUUAGCUAGUUGGCGGGGUAACGGCCCACCAAGGCGACGAUCCGUAGCUGGUCUGAGAGGAUGAUAAGCCACACUGGAACUGAGAAACGGUCCAGACUCCUACGGGAGGCAGCAGUGGGGAAUAUUGGACAAUGGGCGCAAGCCUGAUCCAGCCAUACCGCGUGGGUGAAGAAGGCCUUCGGGUUGUAAAGCCCUUUUGUUGGGAAAGAAAAGCAGCAGGUUAAUACCCCGCUGUCCUGACGGUACCCAAAGAAUAAGCACCGGCUAACUUCGUG
rnacentral:rRNA from 1 species